rnacentral:lncRNA from 1 species
UUCGACUUCAUCUUCUCCGAUUUUAACCUUUUCAGGUUUCUUCCGACAAUUUCUCAAACAGACAGAACCAAAUCAAAAACCAUUAGGCCAUGCUCAGAUCCAGCCUCGCUUCGUUAAUCGUCGAUGUCACUUCACGGCGCACGUUACCUCCCCUCGCAUCCUUCUCUCACCCUGCGCAUAUUAGCCGUUCCUCACGCCGUGUUCUUCCUUCCCUGUACUCCUCCCACACACCUCUAAGGUUUCGGAUUCAGACAUGUAACCACCGCCACCUCUCCUCGUAUUCGUCUCCCUCUGAGAAACACGGACCAUCUUCGUCUACCCGAUCAAGCUUCGCGGGUCGAGAUGACGCAUUCACGGCGGCUCAGAACAGUUCCAACGGUCAUAACUCUUCUCCGCCGCAACCCUCUUCCAAAGUUCUUACAAUACCAACCAUAUUAACCAUUGCUCGUGUAGCUGCCGUACCACUUCUCGUCGCAAGUACGUUCAUUUGUUGCAGCAAACACUGUGUCUUCAUGUAAAGUUGAUUUCUUUUGUCUUUACUUUGUAGCCUUUUACGCUGAUAGUUCGUGGGGAACGACCGCGACUACAAGCAUCUUCAUUGCAGCAGCCAUUACAGACUGGCUUGACGGCUAUCUUGCACGAAAGGUACUUCCUUUAUAUCACAACUCUUGUGUAUUAUCUCAUUGCAAUGUUAACGGUCAGAUCAUGUGCGUUUUUCAGAUGAAGUUAGGUUCUGCGUUUGGUGCCUUUCUGGAUCCAGUUGCUGAUAAGGUGUGGAUUGUUUUAGACUUUUGUCUUUAGUGGGAAGUGAGAUCAUAUAUGUUUCUGAUUUGUAUUUUGGGUCUUCAGCUUAUGGUUGCAGCUACUUUGAUCUUACUAUGUACAAAACCUAUGGAUGUUGGUGUAUUAGGACCUCUUCCAUGGUUAUUGACGGUGCCAUCUAUUGCAAUCAUUGGUAGAGAGGUGAGAUAUGUAGAAAGCUCAGUAUCCUUCACUUGAAGAGUAUGUAGCGUGUCCUUAACUAAAUGAGACGUUUAUCUUCAUGUAGAUUACAAUGUCUGCAGUAAGAGAAUGGGCUGCAUCUCAAAAUGGAAAGCUUUUAGAGGUAAAGUUAGAUCAUCAACAUCUAGCUUUUUUUGUUAAUGUUCUUACUAAAUGGCAUUGAUUGAUUGCUCACCAGGCUGUUGCUGUAAAUAACUUGGGCAAGUGGAAAACCGCUACGCAGAUGACAGCACUAACCAUACUUCUCGCAAGCCGGGAUAGCAAUGUUGGAUGGCUUGUAGCUUCUGGUGCUGGCUUGCUUUAUGUAUCAGCAGGACUAUCUGUUUGGUCUUUAGUAGUUUAUAUGAGGAAGAUAUGGAAAGUACUACUCAAGUAAUCGUUGGUUUUGUCUUUGCCUUGACCUGCAUUUGGAUUAUACGCAUUGAUGGAUGGAGAGGGCAACACUUGAGCAGUGACCUCAGAGGGAAAUGAUUGAUUGAUCAUUAGGUAGAAGAAAGUGUUGGUUGUUUGACAAUAUGUAGAUGGUUUUGCUUUGCUCUGCUGUUUUACAACACAUAUGGUAUAUAGUCUUGGUUCAAAAGCCUAAUCAUGGUGUAUUGUAGAUUGGUUUGGUACUGGUUUCAAUAAGCUUUUACAUUAAUGCAUCUAUGUUCAUUCACAAAGAGUGAAUCUUAUUAACUAUCAAAAAGUUUGAGAAAGCAUAUAUAUCAAAAUCUAUAAGGCCUAGAGAAAGAAAGAACAUAAGCCUAUACAUGUAUUAUCUUGUCUUAUUGGACUAAGAACUCGUUAUAUGAAAAGUCAGGACUGGAGAGGAGAUCGAAAUGCUUGCUUCCAAGCGAGUCUUUCAGUAUCGUGAUCUGACCUUCCUUGAGGAGUGUGUCUUCUUCCAAUCUCUCCACCUCCUUCUUCAACAUCUCCUUUUCUGACUCCAAAUCCAUGUUUCUCUUUCUGCAGUCUCUCACUUCCUUACACAUCUCUUCUCUUUCCUCCAACACUUUUGGUAAUGUAACUUUCAUGCUAGACAAUUGUUUAGCAACUUCUUGGAGAUUGGUUUCAAGCCGCUUCACGUUCUCUUCUUUCUUCACCAUCUGAUGUCAACACUCAAGGAGCUUAAUUAACCACUUAUGAUGAGAGUCAUAAAGAAAAAAAGUAAAAUCUGAAGCACCUGAAUCUUGAGGUCUUUUAAUUGGUGUGUGUUUAUUGAUAGGCUGUCUAAGACAUUCUGGAUUUCACGUUGGAGAACUUCGUUACCUCGUACACCUGCUGCUACUUCUGCUUGCAGCUGUUCGAUCUCUUGUUCCUUGGAAUACAGUUUCUCUCUUAACAAACUAGUCACUAGAGUCUCCGCUUUCAGUUCAGCUCUCAGGAGUUUCUAAAAUCUCAGACAAAAGGUGAAACACUUAGCACAUACAAACAUGUAACAAACCUAUGUGGAAAUGAAACUCACCUCUACUGAUUGGUUGUUUGGCUCAGUAGACCUCGAUGAUUCUGAGUUUGAUGCAAUCUCAUUGGCUUUCUCGAGCAACAAACUGUUGACUGUCUGCAAACUCCUCUUGAGGCUUUCAGUUCCACGCCGUAUUCCAUGGACAUUCAUCUCAGAUUCAAUCAGAAACUGCUCACUCAAUCCAUUAUGCAUGUCUUCAGAUAAUCUCUCUCUGAUGAACUUGAGCAGCUUGUAACACAGCUGGGUGGUCUCACUUAACAUCAUAACCCCUUGGUCUUGCAAGAGUCCUACACGCAUCUUCAUCUCAUUGUCUAGCUUGAAAGUUGUCAUAGUGUCAUAGCUCCGCAAACAAACAUUCUCAGCACGUAGCGAAUCAGCUUCGAUCUUCGUUGAUUCCACCUCCUUUCUGAGUGAGAACUCAACUCUUGUCAACCUCAUCUGCUCCAUCUGCAAUCUCUUCACCAUCUCUGACGGUUGCUUCUUAGUUUCCUCGGAGAGACUAUCUCUAAGUCCUUCAAUAGUCUUCUCUUGUUCCCCACAGGCUCUUACCAACCUCGAAACAGAUUUGUGUAAAUCCUUGCAUUCCAUCUCCUUCUCUUCAAAGAAUUUCUCAAACAGACAGAACCAAAUCAAAAACCAUUAGGCCAUGCUCAGAUCCAGCCUCGCUUCGUUAAUCGUCGAUGUCACUUCACGGCGCACGUUACCUCCCCUCGCAUCCUUCUCUCACCCUGCGCAUAUUAGCCGUUCCUCACGCCGUGUUCUUCCUUCCCUGUACUCCUCCCACACACCUCUAAGGUUUCGGAUUCAGACAUGUAACCACCGCCACCUCUCCUCGUAUUCGUCUCCCUCUGAGAAACACGGACCAUCUUCGUCUACCCGAUCAAGCUUCGCGGGUCGAGAUGACGCAUUCACGGCGGCUCAGAACAGUUCCAACGGUCAUAACUCUUCUCCGCCGCAAC